AGGGUGUCGAAGAUGAACUCAAGCUGUUCGAGGAAUGCCAGGAGAAAUUUCCCAGAGCGCAAACACCUCGGAGAUUGCCACUUAAUUUUGCCACAGGUGAACAGUUUCGUGUGAUAGUGGACAAGUACAUGCGGAAAGCACUUCACAAAGGUGUACCGCCUCUCUUCAUAGACCUUCGGCCUCUCUACAGCAGUCCUGAAAGAGU
rnacentral:lncRNA from 1 species